GAGGCAACAAGACUAGAUGUUCUUACUUGAUAGUCUAUUUUCUAGAAUCUUAGAUUCUUGAAUUGCAUUGGCACCUGAGGAAGAUUUUCUAAUUACAAGUCAUAUGGCCGGAAUCCAUGGUAUGUUGUAGAUUAAAAGAUUAUAACCAAGACGGCAUGUUGAAGUUGGGAAGUAUAUAGUUUCUUUAGAUCUCCAAUAAACUGAAGGACAUAGGAAUAAAAAAAAUCAUAUAGCCGACCCAAAUACAUUGGGACCAAGGGUUAAUUUUACAAUGUUGUGAUCUGGUUUUGCCACAAGUCUCAAGAAUUCUAGUACAAAAGACAUAGAAUUCUUUCUUCCAUUGGCUGAUUAAAGAAACACAAGAAGUCCCCAUUGGCAUGAGAAGGUAGUUGCACGGUACACUUCAUCCAUCUUAAUCUGUUUAACAAAUUUAUCAAAGAUUCUAGCAAUCUUUUUUGAUAAUCUAAGAGGAACAAAAAAUGGUUUCCAACUCAAUUUUCUUGACCUUGAUAGCCUCAGACCUCCAAGUCUUCCAUUUAUUUUCUUCAUCCAGCACAGUUUAGGCCUAGCUGCCUUCUUAUCACAGCUAGCAAGCCUCUCAUAUCUUCCUCUCCCGCACCUCUCAAACAUCUUAAUUUAACAACUAUAGAGUGAAUGUGAUUGAGACAAAUACUAAAAGGUCACAACGAUCAAACCAUUGGGGAAAUGAUCUCAAAGAAUUGAGAAAAUAUAACGGAUAUCUUGAACAUAUAGGUAUAUCUGAGGGAAGAUUGAAGAAUGUGCAGGGAGAUAGAUGCCACAAUGAGUUUAUAUAGAGAGUAGAAGAGAAAGAAAGAUUCAAAAGAGAGAACAGUUUGAG
rnacentral:lncRNA from 1 species